GUGUUCAACGCUAAACUUAGUUGAGAACAGGUCAUUAUAAAGAAUUAAGUUACCUAACCAUUGCAUUUUCUAGCUGACAGCAGGAAGUAUUAGCUCUGUAUUUGUGUUUUAAAAUUUCCAGAUUUUACAGCCUGGUACCUCUUGUAGUAUUUGAGACUGAAAUUCUUGCAGUUUCAGAUUGUCAGGCUCUGCUGUUUAAGUCUGAUGUGGUGUGAUACCAUGAGGUAGCUACGUGUAUGUCGUGGACAUGAAUUCAGCAGUAAAAUAACCACAGGAGGGUGCAAUUUUGGAUUGGGAACUCCAUCUCAAGGAUUCCUAUCACAGGAAAGACAUUGUGGAACCUGGAAUAAAAGCAACAUGUUUUUGCUGCCAGGCCUGUUUGACAGCCUUAUGAGCUAAUGUAAGACCCAUCAGAAGUGGAGAGUCCUCAUUUUCCCGUUGCUCCUCACAGCAGAAGUCAAUUACCAGCACUUCAGACUUAGGAGUCAAAAUUCAGUUCUUUCUACACUGCUAAACUCUACAGAUUCCUGAUUUACUCUAUAUGCCUACUGCCCUGCAUGUGCAAUGUCAGCUUGGUCCCACUUGAGCCCAGUCUCCUCCAGC
rnacentral:lncRNA from 1 species